UAGGGAAUCUUCCGCAAUGGGCGAAAGCUUGACGGAGCAACGCCGCGUGAGUGAUGAAGGUCUUCGGAUCGUAAAACUCUGUUAUUAGGGAAGAACAAAUGUGUAAGUAACUAUGCACGUCUUGACGGUACCUAAUCAGAAAGCCACGGCUAACUACGUGCCAGCAGCCGCGGUAAUACGUAGGUGGCAAGCGUUAUCCGGAAUUAUUUGGCGUAAAGCGCGCGUAGGCGGUUUUUUAAGUCUGAUGUGAAAGCCCACGGCUCAACCGUGGAGGGUCAUUGGAAACUGGAAACCUUGAGUGCAGAAGAGGAAAGUGGAAUUCCAGGUGUAGCGGUGAAAUGCGCAGAGAUAUGGAGGAACACCAGUGGCGAAGGCGACUUUCUGGUCUGUAACUGACGCUGAUGUGCGAAAGCGUGGGGAUCAAACAGG
rnacentral:rRNA from 1 species